GACGAACGCUGGCGGCGUGCCUAAUACAUGCAAGUCGAGCGAAGUUUUUCUGGUGCUUGCACUAGAAAAACUUAGCGGCGAACGGGUGAGUAACACGUAAAGAACCUGCCACAUAGACUGGGACAACUAUUGGAAACGAUAGCUAAUACCGGAUAACAGUAUUUCUCGCAUGAGAGAUAUUUAAAAGUUGGUUAUGCUAACACUAUGAGAUGGCUUUGCGGUGCAUUAGCUAGUUGGUGGGGUAAAGGCCCACCAAGGCGACGAUGCAUAGCCGACCUGAGAGGGUGAUCGGCCACACUGGGACUGAGACACGGCCCAGACUCCUACGGGAGGCAGCAGUAGGGAAUCUUCCGCAAUGGGCGAAAGCCUGACGGAGCAACGCCGCGUGAGUGAAGAAGGAUUUCGGUUCGUAAAGCUCUGUUGUUAGGGAAGAAUGGAUAUGUAGUAACUAUACAUAUAAGAGACG
rnacentral:rRNA from 1 species